UUACCUGGUUGAUCCUGCCAGUAGUCAUAUGCUUGUCUCAAAGAUUAAGCCAUGCAUGUCUAAGUGCAAGCCAAAUUAAGGUGAAACCGCGAAUGGCUCAUUAAAUCAGUUAUGGUUCCUUAGAUAAUACACCAAGUUACUUGGAUAACUGUGGUAAUUCUAGAGCUAAUACAUGCAAACAGAGUUCUGACUCGAGAGGGGAGGAACGCUUUUAUUAGAUCAAAACCAAUCGGUCGCUCGCGGCCGCAUUGCCUUUGGUGACUCUGAAUAACCACUAAGCAGAUCGCACGGUCUCGCACCGGCGACGCAUCUUUCAAAUGUCUGCCUUAUCAACUGUCGAUGGUAGGUUCUGCGCCUACCAUGGUUGUAACGGGUAACGGGGAAUCAGGGUUCGAUUCCGGAGAGGGAGCCUGAGAAACGGCUACCACAUCCAAGGAAGGCAGCAGGCGCGCAAAUUACCCACUCCCGGCACGGGGAGGUAGUGACGAAAAAUAACGAUACGGGACUCAUCCGAGGCCCCGUAAUCGGAAUGAGCACAACUUAAAUACUUUAACGAGUAUCAAUUGGAGGGCAAGUCUGGUGCCAGCAGCCGCGGUAAUUCCAGCUCCAAUAGCGUAUAUUAAAGUUGUUGCGGUUAAANNNCUCGUAGUUGGACUUGUGUCCCACGCCGCCGGUUCGUCGCCCGUCGGCGUAACCGCGCGGUUUCCAAGUGGGACGUCCAGCCGGUGGUCGCGCAGGCCCUUUCCGGGGCGGAGGAGAUGCGACCGCUUUCGGGCGACACCCGCCUUCGCCUCGAUCGGGUACCGGCACCAUUCUACUCGCCUCGGUGCUCUUCAUCGAGUGUCUUGGCGGGCCGGCUCGUUUACUUUGAACAAAUUAGAGUGCUCAACGCAGGCUCGAACGCUUGAAUAUUUUUUGCAUGGAAUAAUGGAAUAGGAUCUCGGUUCUAUUUUAUUGGUUUUCUGAACCAGAGAUAAUGAUUAAUAGAGACUGACGGGGGCAUUCGUAUUGCGACGUUAGAGGUGAAAUUCUUGGAUCGUCGCAAGACGAACCGAAGCGAAAGCAUUUGCCAAGAAAGCUUUCCUUAAUCAAGAACGAAAGUUAGAGGUUCGAAGGCGAUCAGAUACCGCCCUAGUUCUAACCAUAAACGAUGCCAACUAGCGAUCCGCCGGUGUUCCUCCGAUGACCCGGCGGGCAGCUUCCGGGAAACCAAAGUGUUUAGGUUCCGGGGGAAGUAUGGUUGCAAAGCUGAAACUUAAAGGAAUUGACGGAAGGGCACCACCAGGAGUGGAGCCUGCGGCUUAAUUUGACUCAACACGGGAAACCUCACCAGGCCCGGACACUGGAAGGAUUGACAGAUUGAUAGCUCUUUCUUGAUUCAGUGGGUGGUGGUGCAUGGCCGUUCUUAGUUGGUGGAGCGAUUUGUCUGGUUAAUUCCGAUAACGAACGAGACUCUGGCCUGCUAACUAGUCGCGCAAACGGCAUCCGCAUUCGUGCUGCCGGCGACAAAUAUAAACUCUUCUUAGAGGGACAGGCGGCUUCUAGCCGCACGAGAUUGAGCAAUAACAGGUCUGUGAUGCCCUUAGAUGUUCUGGGCCGCACGCGCGCUACACUGAAGGGAUCAACGUGUGUCCUCCCUUGGCCGAGAGGCCCGGGUAACCCGCUGAACCCCCUUCGUGCUAGGGAUUGGGGCUUGCAACUGUUCCCCAUGAACGAGGAAUUCCCAGUAAGCGCGAGUCAUAAGCUCGCGUUGAUUACGUCCCUGCCCUUUGUACACACCGCCCGUCGCUACUACCGAUUGAAUGAUUUAGUGAGGUCUUCGGACCGCCGCGCGGCAGCGCGCGCAAGCGCCUGUCGAUGCCGACGGAAAGAUGAUCGAACUUGAUUAUUUAGAGGAAGUAAAAGUCGUAACAAGGUUUCCGUAGGUGAACCUGCGGAAGGAUCAAA
rnacentral:rRNA from 1 species